GGAUGUGAGGACGAUCUGGCUGCGACAUCUGUCACCCCAUUGAUCGCCAGGGUUGAUUCGGCUGAUCUGGCUGGCUAGGCGGGUGUCCCCUUCCCUCCUCACCACUCCAUGUGCAUCCCUCCCGAAGCUGCACUCUCGGUUGAAGAGGAUGACCUUCCCCAACAGAGGAGGACCGUUCUUUGGUCAAGGGUAUACAAGUAGCUGCGCUCCCCUGCCACUAUGUGUGGUGACAGAUGUUACCUAGACUUAUUGUGGUGAUCAUUUUGCAAUAUAUACAAACACCAAUCAUUAUGUUGUACACCUGAAACUGAU
rnacentral:snRNA from 1 species